rnacentral:sRNA from 1 species
ACCAAAGCUUCUCCAUGCCCGGACAACUGUAACUUCUGUAGAGCUGAACUGGUGAAGCUGGAGGACUGAGAAUUGAACGCAGAGCUUGACCCCUGCCAGAUCUGUUGCCUUUAAGGAAAUAAGAAACAACAUGGGAAACCUCGUCUCAUCAGAAGUUAGGAAAGCCAGAAACUGAAUGAACACCACUCUUGAGAGUUUGAAGGGAAAUAGCGCUAACCCUAGGAUACUACAUCCAAUCAACACAUCCUUCAAAAGUGAAGGAGAGGGCUGGCAGCAUGGUGCAGAGGAUGAAUGUGCUUGGCCCUGAGCUGGAACAAAGUGGGAAAGUGGAUUGCUGUCAAGAUGGGGAUGAAUCAUCUUAUCCCUAAUAUGAAGACCAUAAACAACCGAUACUCUGUGUUUCAGGUAGGAGCGAGGCAGUUCAUUCCCAGAGCACACAGCAACUGAGAGGCUCCUGUGUUCCUCGUGCUGAGAUUGCAGUCCUCUUCAUCAUCCUUUUCUUCUCCUCUCUUCCUCCUCUGCCUUCUCUUCAUCCUUCUUCUUUUCUCCUCCCUCCUCUUCCUCCCUCUACUUCUCCCACUUCUCCUCCAGAUGCCUGAGGACAGAAGCGAAGAACUGUUUUCCUUCCCGAUCAGUCCAUCUUCCCAUCCCACUCUGCACCCCUGUCGCAGGCAGUGGUAAUGUGCCAACUUCCCUGCUGUCCUCCUGAGUUCGGCUAACAGGAGACUCCAGCCAGGGUGAAGAAGGCCUUUGUUCCCUUCCACGGCACCCCAGGGAAUAGUGACACAACUCAAGACAUACAGUGCUUCUUAGUUGCUGAGGUGCGACUUCUAGCCAUUGACUCAUCAUAGCCCUGUAGGCCGAUCAGUCCCUUGCUCUUAGCCUAGGUAAUGGACAACCCUGGGUGGUUUCCUUAAACUCACCAGACAGAUUUCUAGUCUCCCUUCCCACAAGCCUCCCCUUCAAUCCUCCUUUAUAUACACCAGGUUUGUUUUUUUUUUUAAUUUCAAGGACUCUCACUAACAUUCUUCCAAUUUAUAUCUCUAUUCAGAACAUUUGUUACUGCACUCCUCAACUUGGCAAGUGUCACUACCACAAGAACUAAAGCAGGUGCCCAGGUGACGUCCUGAUGGAAUCUUUCUCUUCCGCUUCAUAGUCCAUGCCAAUGGAGUUCUUUCCCUUUAACGUUCUAUUCGCCAUGCCUGCGAGCACAGCUUUCCCAGUUGCUCUUUACAGUGGUUCCUGAUGUGACUUCCUUUAUGGGUGCCAGGAAGACAGAACACAUCAACUACUUAGAACCCUUUGGUGUACCUCCCUCAUCUGAUUUCACUUGACAAAGGUUCAAGAGCACAACGUUCUAUUCAACUAUGGUGUCAUAGUUCUUUAUUGUUGAUUACAACUGUCUGCCUCUUCUGUACAUAGUAUAUAAGGUAAAUUUGGCCAUAGAUAUUUCUGUAUAGG